rnacentral:rRNA from 1 species
UACGAAGGGGGGCUAGCGUUGCUCGGAAUCACUGGGCGUAAAGGGCGCGUAGGCGGCCAUUCAAGUCAGAGGUGAAAGCCCAGGGCUUAACCCUGGAAUUGCCUUUGAUACUGUUUGGCUUGAGACCGGAAGAGGUUAGUGGAACUGCGAGUGUAGAGGUGAAAUUCGUAGAUAUUCGCAAGAACACCAGUGGCGAAGGCGGCUAACUGGUCCGGUUCUGACGCUGAGGCGCGAAAGCGUGGGGAGCAAACAGG